UAUUUUCUUUUUAUUCCCCUUCAACACCAAAAAUAGAGAGGCCUCUUACCAAUUAGUCCAAAAAGUUUUUUCUACUAAAAAGUAUUUUUGUAAAAUAGCCGAUUCCAAUUGAAAAUAAAUUUUAUUUAUUUUUCAAAAAAAAAAAUUUGUCGUUCAAAUUAUGUCUAACAUAGCAGUUAAUGAUAUUCAUAGUAGUUUUCUUUUGCUCACAUUAUAUUUGGAAACAAUAAAUUUAACUAAAAAUUAUAAUUUAUACAUAAUAAAAUUUUUCUAGAGCUUUUAUAUUUAUAAUUUUAUACCAUGUACGUAAAUCAAAUUAAUAAUAAAAUUAUAAUUAUAAAAGUUUUAGAAAAACCUUUCUAUUUUUGGUGUUGAAGGGGAAUAAAAGGAAAUAA
rnacentral:pre_miRNA from 1 species